GACAGAGGGGGCAAGCGUUGCUCGGAAUUACUGGGCGUAAAGGGCGCGUAGGCGGGAUGGCAAGUCGGUCGUGAAAUCCCUCGGCUCAACCGAGGAACGUCGAUCGAUACUGCUGUUCUUGAGGAUUGCAGAGGAGACUGGAAUUCCCGGUGUAGCGGUGAAAUGUGUAGAGAUCGGGAGGAACACCGGUGGCGAAGGCGGGUCUCUGGGCAAUUCCUGACGCUGAGACGCGAAAGCGUGGGGAGCAAACAGG
rnacentral:rRNA from 1 species